GAGGAGGAGGGGAGAACCGGUCGGGGCCACCGCUCCCCAAAUUAAGGUCACCGGCACUCUGGUGGAAGAGCUUCUCGGUUCGACCCAGAACUCUCCAGGAAGCUCUCUUAGGGAGUGGGAUGGAUGAAAGCACCUUUGAGACAUUCGAGGAGGAGCUCUGUCCAUCUGGACAGCAGGAGCUGCCAGUCAAACCCGUGCGACAGCUUCACCGACCAGACCCCCAGCCACUGAGGAAGAUGAGAGAGG